rnacentral:rRNA from 1 species
CAACGCGAAGAACCUUACCAGGUCUUGACAUCCCACGAAUUUCAUCUGAAAGGAUGGAGUGCCUUCGGGAGCGUGGAGACAGGUGGUGCAUGGUUGUCGUCAGCUCGUGUCGUGAGAUGUUGGGUUAAGUCCCGCAACGAGCGCAACCCUUGCUAUUAGUUGCUAACAGGUAGAGCUGAGCACUCUAAUGGGACUGCCGGUGACAAGCCGGAGGAAGGUGGGGAUGACGUCAAAUCAUCAUGCCCUUUAUGACCUGGGCUACACACGUGCUACAAUGGAUGGCACAGAGAGCAGCGAGGCAGCGAUGUGGAGCGAAUCUCAAAAAGCCAUUCUCAGUUCGGAUUGGAGUCUGCAACUCGACUCCAUGAAGUCGGAAUCGCUAGUAAUCGCGAAUCAGCACGCCGCGGUGAAUACGUUCCCGGGCCUU